rnacentral:tRNA from 1 species
GGGCCUGUAGCUCAGACGGCUAGAGCAGUACCCUUACAAGGUACGUGUCGGAGGUUCGAGUCCUCUCAGGCCCA